CGCUCUUGUGUCAGAAAGAUGUAGUCAUCUUUUGCUGACAGAUUAAGAAGAUGUAGUCAUCUUUGCUUAAUCAGUUGAAGCUCAAAGUCGUAUCAUAAUUAUUACACAGCAACUUAUAUCUAAAUGAAAAGUAUAAUAAAUUCUAUAAUUUUAUCAUAAGUUACUAUUCAGGACAUAAAAAAUGCACUGCUUUUGUACAGUAUAAAAAUU